UACGGGGGGAGCAAGCGUUGUUCGGAUUUACUGGGCGUAAAGGGCGCGUAGGCGGUCAGCACAAGUCAGUUGUGAAAUCUCCGGGCUUAACUCGGAAAGGUCAACUGAUACUGUGCGACUAGAGUGCGGAAGGGGCAACUGGAAUUCUCGGUGUAGCGGUGAAAUGCGUAGAUAUCGAGAGGAACACUUGCGGCGAAGGCGGGUUGCUGGGCCGACACUGACGCUGAUGCGCGAAAGCCAGGGGAGCGAACGGG
rnacentral:rRNA from 1 species